AGAGUUUGCAAGUUUGAGGCUAUUACAGAAGCACUCACAGUGUGGCCCUGUUAGAUUCUAGUGAAUCUGUGAAUUUUGCU
rnacentral:ribozyme from 1 species